rnacentral:rRNA from 4 species
CGCCUCUAGCCAAAACUAAUAUUAGAGGUACUGCCUGCCCAGUGAUACGAUUCAACGGCCGCGGUAUUCUGACCGUGCAAAGGUAGCAUAAUCACUUGUUUUCUAAAUAAAGACUAGUAUGAACGGCAAAACGAAGGCUAAACUGUCUCCUCUACCUCAUCAAUGAAAUUGAUCUCCCAGUACAAAAGCUGGAAUAAAAAAAUAAGACGAGAAGACCCUAUGGAGCUUUAAACAUAUAGAAAGUAUCAAUAACGUUUAACUAACAUCACACUAUUUCUAAACUGUUUUUGGUUGGGGCGACCACGGAGAAAACAAAUCCUCCGAGAUGAAUACCAAGGAAAACUAUCCAAAGUGUCAGAACCAACUGCCAUAAUUGAUCCAAUUAAUUUUGAUCAACGAACCAAGUUACCCUAGGGAUAACAGCGCAAUCCUCUUUAAGAGUCCAUAUCAACAAGAGGGUUUACGACCUCGAUGUUGGAUCAGGAUAACCUGACAGUGCAAUCGUCGUCAAAGGUUUGUUUGUUCAACAAUUAAAAUCCU